rnacentral:rRNA from 1 species
GAUGAACGCUGGCGGCGUGCCUAAUACAUGCAAGUCGAGCGAACAGACGAGGAGCUUGCUCCUCUGACGUUAGCGGCGGACGGGUGAGUAACACGUGGAUAACCUACCUAUAAGACUGGGAUAACUUCGGGGAACCGGAGCUAAUACCGGAUAAUAUAUUGAACCGCAUGGUUCAAUAGUGAAAGACGGUUUUGCUGUCACUUAUAGAUGGAUCCGCGCCGCAUUAGCUAGUUGGUAAGGUAACGGCUUACCAAGGCAACGAUGCGUAGCCGACCUGAGAGGGUGAUCGGCCACACUGGAACUGAGACACGGUCCAGACUCCUACGGGAGGCAGCAGUAGGGAAUCUUCCGCAAUGGGCGAAAGCCUGACGCAGCAACGCCGCGUGAGUGAUGAAGGUCUUCGGAUCGUAAAACUCUGUUAUUAGGGAAGAACAAAUGUGUAAGUAACUAUGCACGCCUUGACGGUACCUAAUCAGAAAGCCACGGCUAACUACGUG